GCGUUCGUAGCUCAGCUGGUUAGAGCACACGCCUGAUAAGCCGUGAGGUCGGUGGUUCAAGUCCACCCGAACGCA
rnacentral:tRNA from 1 species